AAAAUUUGUUAUUAAUUUGAUUUAUAUGUAAAUUUUUGUGUGAAUUUGUAUUAAUUUUAAAAAUUUAUAUAAUUUUUAUAGUCGCAGUAAUUAAUUUUAUUAAUUAAAGAAAUUUAGAAAUAGCAAUAUUAAAUAGUAUAGAUUAAAUUGGUGCCAGCAAUCGCGGUUAUACUAAUUAUACAAAUGAAUUUUUUUAGUAAAAGUUAAAUUGGUAAAAAUUAAAAAUAAUUAAAUUUAUUAAGUGAAAUUUUAAAUUUAAAUUUUUUAUAAAUAAAUUAAUUGAAGCUUAAAAAUUUUAAUAAA
rnacentral:rRNA from 1 species